rnacentral:rRNA from 1 species
AACGUUUCGAAAGGAACGCUAAUACCGCAUACGUCCUACGGGAGAAAGCAGGGGACCUUCGGGCCUUGCGCUAUCAGAUGAGCCUAGGUCGGAUUAGCUAGUUGGUGAGGUAAUGGCUCACCAAGGCGACGAUCCGUAACUGGUCUGAGAGGAUGAUCAGUCACACUGGAACUGAGACACGGUCCAGACUCCUACGGGAGGCAGCAGUGGGGAAUAUUGGACAAUGGGCGAAAGCCUGAUCCAGCCAUGCCGCGUGUGUGAAGAAGGUCUUCGGAUUGUAAAGCACUUUAAGUUGGGAGGAAGGGCAUUAACCUAAUACGUUAGUGUUUUGACGUUACCGACAGAAUAAGCACCGGCUAACUCUGUGCCAGCAGCCGCGGUAAUACAGAGGGUGCAAGCGUUAAUCGGAAUUACUGGGCGUAAAGCGCGCGUAGGUGGUUUGUUAAGUUGGAUGUGAAAUCCCCGGGCUCAACCUGGGAACUGCAUUCAAAACUGACAAGCUAGAGUAUGGUAGAGGGGUGGUGGAAUUUCCUGUGUAGCGGUGAAAUGCGUAGAUAUAGGAAGGGAACACCAGUGGCGA